CGUGCGCGCGCCGGUUUAAGAAUAUAUUCAUAGAUUUUUUUCUUCAAAAUACCCAAUUUUUAUAGGUUAUUGCUUGAAUGUAGAACGAUAAUCCUGAGUGAAUGUCACAACACUCAAACGGAGAUUAAAAUUUAAAUGACAUCAUUUCAUUCAUCAGUCUCGGAGUCUUGCCGGCGGACAUUAUUAGUCAACGAACAGCUCUCGUUCGUAGAAGUAUUUGACUUGGAGAACGAACAUUCGAUUUCGAGGUUAAGCGUUGUGGGAAUCGAUUCGUUAUAUAACCAUGCAGGAAGAGCUUUUGUUGCAAGUUCGAAGCCUGAAGGUUCUUCUUCAGACUUCACGAGAAUUCGACGGUAAAAUACUAGCAGUCCAGGUUUUGUGUACAGGAAUCAAAGGAGCUCAACCGGUCUUUCGCUCUAAUAGACAACGAAUGCAGUGUGCCGCGCGAGGAUGUUUGUACGUCAUCCGAGCGCUCUCGCCGCGCCCUUGGAAGGUUCCUUUCGACCUCUACGUCGCACGCUUAAUUAAUACGCGACCUCGUCCGUGUCCUGUGUGCAUAACCAGCAAAGAGGCAUCGAAGCAUCGAGAGAAAUGCCAGGUACCGGCAAUCACGUACGUGUUUAUGAGACUCCCUAUAAAUCUCGUAACAACUUAACUGGCCCAUCCAUCCAACUGUUAUAGUUGUACAUAUACGUAUUGAAUACAGGCGUCUUCGUCAGUGCGACGAGUGUUCGGCGCCGACAACUGCGUGAGGGGUCGUAAAUUUUGAACGAAUGAGAACCCGCACCGAAAAACCGGAACUUCCGCACGAGAUUGAAUUCCGCGUUGACGUAAUUCAGGACCGAGAGAGGCCACGAGAAUUUGCAUUCGAGUGAAAAAUUCAGGAAUCGGUGCUCGACUGUACGCUCCGUGAACCAAGGAAUGAAGUGCGCACCGCGGUUUUCCUCGUAAUAAAAGAGUAAGAGUGAUUGCGGCUGACACGAGGAAAAAGCGAGAUUUCAUACCGUCGAGUCGUAGGUGCACUCACACACGGGGACACUCGAUAAAGCUUCGUACCCGGAGCGUCUCGAAUUCUCGUUUCAACGGGAAUCGAGACCUGCAAAAUCGUCGGAGACUUAUCUAAUCCGGGCUGAUGGGGCGAAGGGAAUUCACCCGUCGAAAGGGCUAAUCCGAUCAAAGAGCCAGCCUCGAUCGAUUCUCGAAUUUCCCAAUUUUUC